GUGACUAAUGUCACAUACAGAGGUGCUCGAAUUUUUAGAGCUACCAUGGAUGAUCUCUUAUCUAGAGGCAUGAAUGGUGCCCAAAAUGCACUUCUUAUUGGUUCUUCAGCUGGGGGAUUGGCAGCAAUGAUCCAUUGCGAUAGAUUUCGAGGACUUCUCCCAUGGUUUGCCAGAGUAAAAUGCCUCCCAAUUGCAGCCUAUUUUGUGCAUGAGGAAAAUCUACCGGGGAGCAAACAAUUUGAGUUGGCAUUUGAUGCGCUGAUUCAUUUACAUUUAUAGGAUCAGCCGGUAUGCUGCCUCCACAGUGCACUUCAAUAAUGACGCCAAGUCUUUGUUUGUUCCCCCAAUAUUUAUUGCAGUAUGUGAUGACACCCGUCUUCAUAGCCAUGUCGUCAUGUGACCAAGUUCAGAUAAAAUGGAACUUGUUCAAAGAGGAUGAAGUAUGUUUGGUAUCUCAAAACUGCACAGAUGAUCGGAAACAGGCAAUUCAAGAAUUGAGAUCUGAUGUAUUAGCUGCACUCCCCAAAGCUCUUCCAUUGUCCAGGGGGAUAUGGAUGACGAGUUGCAUUGCGCAUGAGAUGCCUUACUAUUCUGGAAUGAAAAUCAUAGGGAACAAGACAUUUGCGAAGGUAUUCAUUGAUUGGUAUUUUGAUUUCAAUUACUUACAAGUAAUUGAUCCCAAAAUAGAGCCAAAAAAUUGCUCUAAAUAUGGCAUAGGUCCAAAACAACUGUGAGCUAAAUGAUUCUCAGCAAGGUUCUUGAAUUGGAAGUAAUUUAACUAUGUUGGAUUUGAGUUUUAUAUUUUUUCAUCAUUUUAGCAUGUAAUGUUGUAGUUGCCACUCCCCUGGUUGUCUACUGGGGAGUGUCUACUGCCUUAAUGGUUGGAGACAGUAUGCAAUGUUUUAAAUACUUUAAAAAUUGUGUGUAUCAGUUGCGUACCUUCUAUAUGAAUUUUAUUUAGUUAGUUUAAUUAUUGAA